rnacentral:rRNA from 1 species
UACGUAGGGUGCGAGCGUUAAUCGGAAUUACUGGGCGUAAAGCGUGCGCAGGCGGUUUGCUAAGACCGAUGUGAAAUCCCCGGGCUUAACCUGGGAACUGCAUUGGUGACUGGCAGGCUAGAGUAUGGCAGAGGGGGUAGAAUUCCACGUGUAGCAGUGAAAUGCGUAGAGAUGUGGAGGAAUACCGAUGGCGAAGGCAGCCCCCUGGGCCAAUACUGACGCUCAUGCACGAA